rnacentral:rRNA from 1 species
CCUACGGGGGGCAGCAGUGGGGAAUAUUGGGCAAUGGAGGAAACUCUGACCCAGCAACGCCGCGUGAAUGAUGAAGGUCUUCGGAUUGUAAAGUUCUUUUCUAAGGGAAGAAGAAAGUUACGGUACCUUAGGAAUAAGCCUCGGCUAACUACGUGCCAGCAGCCGCGGUAAUACGUAGAAGGCAAGCGUUAUCCGGAAUGACUGGGCGUAAUGGGUGCGUUGGUGGUUUGACAAGUUGGUAGCGUAACUCCGGGGCUCAACCUCGGCACUACUACCAAAACUGUCGGACUGGAGUGCAGGAGGGGAGAGUGGAAUGCCUAGUGUAGCGGUGGAAUGCGUAGAUAUUAGGAGGAACACCAGUGGCGAAGGCGAGUUGCUGGACUGUAACUGACGCUGAGGCACGAAAGCGUGGGGAGCAAACAGGAUUAGAUACCCUUGUAGUC